GAAAAACUCCGCGUGGUAUAAUAUGGACCCGCGUUGGAUUAGCUAGUUGGCGAGGUAACCGCCCACCAAGCGCGACGAUCCAUAUUCCGACUCUGAUAGGGUGACCAGGCCACAUUGCGGCACUGAGACACGGUCCAAACUCCUAUCGGGAGGCCUCAGUGNAGGAAUAUUGCACAAUGGGCUAAAGCCUGAUGCAUCCACGCCUUCGUGAGCGAAGAAAUGUUUCUCUAUGUAAAGCUCUAUCAACAGGGAAUAUAAUGACUGGACCUGACUAACAAGCACCCGCUAAAUACUUGCCAGCACCCGCGGGUAAUACGGUAUGGUGCAAGCGUUAUCCUGAUUUACUGGGUGUUAAGGGAGCGCACGCACGUGCGGCAAGUCUGAUGUGAAAGCCCGGAGCUCAACCCCAGUACUGCAUUGUAAACUGUCACACUAUAGAGUCUGAGGGGUAAGCGGGAAUUCCUAGUGUAGCGGUGAAAUGCGUAGAUAUUAGGAGGAACACCAGUGGCGAAGGCGGCUUACUGGACGAUAACUGACGCUGAGGCUCGAAAGCGUGGGGAGCAAACAGGAUUAGAUACCCUGUAGUCCACGCCGUAAACGAUGAAUACUAGGUGUUGGGAAGCAUUGCUUCUCGGUGCUGUCGCAAACGCAGUAAGUAUUCCACUUGGGGAGUACGUUCGCAAGAAUGAAACUCAACGGAAUUGACGGGGACCCGCACAAGCGGUGGAGCAUGUGGUUUAAUUUGAAGCAACGCGAAGAACCUUACCAAGUCUUGACAUCCUUCUGACCGGUACUUAACCGUACCUUCUCUUCGGAGCAGGAGUGACAGGUGGUGCAUGGUCGUCGUCAGCUAGUGUCGUGAGAGGUUGGGUUAAGUCCCGCAACGCGCGCAACCCUGAUCUCUAGUAGCCAGCGGUUAGGCCGGGCAGUUUAGAGACACUGCCAGGGAUAACAUGGAUGAAGGUGGGGAUGACGUCAACUCAUCAUCCCCCGUACGACUGUGGGCUACACACCGUCUACAAUGGAUUAACCAAAGGGAAGCAAAGCCGAGAAGCGGAGCAAAUCUCAAAAAUAAUGUCUCAGUUGGGACCGUAGUGCGCAACCCGACUACAAGAAGCGGGAAUCGCUAGUAAUCGCAGAUCAGAAUGAAGCGGGGAAUACGUUCCCGGCUCGAGCACUCACCGCCCGUCA
rnacentral:rRNA from 1 species